rnacentral:lncRNA from 1 species
AAUUUCAUGCAAAUAACUAGUAAUUAUAAUGGAGUCACACUAGAAGCUGCUGCAAAAUGAGUUGGUGUCCAGAACUCUUAUUUCUAGCAAGCAACUGGCUCUCUCUCAUUUAUUCUAACUCACUAGUUGAGAUGGACAGGUGGAGUUCAGGGCUUCUGGGGUGGAUUGUAGUAUGGGGGAGGCUUCUUCUUAUAUGGAGUUGGAGGAGGAGGAGGUUUCUUCCCUUCUGGCUUUUGUGGGGGUAGAGGAGCCUUGAUUGGAGGAGGGUGUUUAGGGUAACUAGGUGUGAUUGGUUUCACAACAGGAGGUAGAGUUGGUGUCUUAGGAUAAGGUGGUGGAAGUGGCUUGGUCACCGGCGUAGGUGGCGGUGAAUGUACAAUAGGAGGCUGAGUGCUUGGUGGUUUGCCAUAAGGUGAGGAUGGUGGUGGCCUCACCACUCUAGGAGGCAGAGUUGGUGGUUUGGGUUUGGGCACUAUUGGUGGUGAUGGCUUGUUAUAAACUGGGGGUGAUGGCUUCUUGAUGGGAGCUGGGGGCUUGUAAAUAGGAGAAGGAGUUGGUGGUUUGGGUUUGGGCACUAUUGGUGGUGAUGGCUUCUUGAUGGGAGCUGGGGGCUUGUAAAUAGGAGAAGGAGUGGGUGGCUUGGGUUUUUCAUUGUACUCAGCUAGAGAUGAAGUGAUGAGAACCACCAGGCCAAACAAUAGCACAAGCAACUUUGAGUAACUCAUG